CAGAAAGGGAAAGUAAGUCGGGGACAGAGGAUCCCCAACAUUUGAUGUCAGGAAUGGCCUAGGAACCUGCCAAGGAGAUCGAGAAGGUACAGCUAGAGAGGUCAAAGCCAAAACCCAGAGAGAGAGGCGUGUCAGCCACCAAGUUUAAGGAUGGGAUCAAAGCUAUCAAGUGCUCUGCAGACCGUCCCCACAGCACUGAACAAGGCGGUUUCAGUUCCAGCAGGUUCUGCUGAAAACAGGUCAGGUGCCUCUGCAGAAAUGAGAUCUCUAGCCCAGUCCCACAGGAGCCGACUUAUGCCUGUCGCGGUCCGACCCAAGCCCCGGGAUUACCCGGCGGAGACGGAGACCAACGCGCGCCUCUGCGUGAAGCUGAGCGUGCAACCUUCAAAGGAACCACAGAGGAGCUACUCAUCUUUAAAGGAAAAACACAUGCACUCCACAGGCAUACGGAACGCAUUAGAAAGGGGUUGGGCUGGAGAAGUUCUCGUCCUUCCACUUCAUAUUUUUUUUUUAAAAAAAUAUAUAUUAUUUUUUUCUUCCACUUCAUAUUAUCCUUCACAGAAACUGU
rnacentral:lncRNA from 1 species